ACCUCUAUAUUAUUCUUCUAGCACAAGGACAUAUCGGCAAGCCUGGGUUGGUGUUUACAUGUCUAGGUGUGAAUCGCUACGGUGAUUUAGUGAGAGAUAGAAAAAUACCAAUAAGCAUAUUGGCCAUAUUCUCUUCGUAUACAUGAAAAUCGGCACCAAUGUACCAAUGUAAUCGAUGGAAUUUCCCCAUAGCUCGAAUGGAAUUUUCCCACAGAGCAUAGGACUGAUCUUGUAAAGAUUUAUUGAAAAUUAAGAUUUAGGAUAAAAAAAUCCUGCAUAGACACAACUUGGGUGUUUUCGAAUACUUUUUAGAAUAUCUUAACAGAACAAUGAUAUAAGAUUACAGAAAUUUAUCUGACGUAGGACAAAUGUGUAAGGUAUUUUAUAUUUCUAUUAUAAGUGAGUAAAACUUUGUAUAAAAUAAAUAUAAUAAUUCGUAAAUACACAUUCUGUAAGGUUUCGAAGAAUUUAAAGGAUGGAAGAUAUUCAGGAUACCUUUGAUUGAUAUAGCUUAAACUACAGUAAAAUC